rnacentral:rRNA from 1 species
AUACGGAGGGUGCGAGCGUUAAUCGGAAUUACUGGGCGUAAAGCGCGCGUAGGUGGCUAUGUCAGUCGGAUGUGAAAGCCCUGGGCUUAACCUGGGAAUUGCAUUCGAUACUGCAUGGCUAGAGUAUAGUAGAGGGUAGUGGAAUUUCCGGUGUAGCGGUGAAAUGCGUAGAUAUCGGAAGGAACACCAGUGGCGAAGGCGACUUCCUGGGCCAAUACUGACGCUGAGGUGCGAAAGCGUGGGGAGCAAACAGGAUUAGAAACCCCUGUAGUCC